rnacentral:rRNA from 1 species
UUUAUGGAGAGUUUGAUCCUGGCUCAGGAUGAACGCUGGCGGCGUGCCUAAUACAUGCAAGUCGAGCGAACGGACGAGAAACUUGCUUCUCUGAUGUUAGCGGCGGACGGGUGAGUAACACGUGGAUAACCUACCUAUAAGACUGGGAUAACUUCGGGAAACCGGAGCUAAUACCGGAUAAUAUUUUGAACCGCAUGGUUC